rnacentral:rRNA from 1 species
GACGAACGCUGGCGGCGUGCUUAACACAUGCAAGUCGUACGGAAAGGCCCUGCUUUUGUGGGGUGCUCGAGUGGCGAACGGGCGAGUAACACGUGAGUAACCUGCCCUUGACUUUGGGAUAACUUCAGGAAACUGGGGCUAAUACCGGAUAGGAGCUCCUGCUGCAUGGUGGGGGUUGGAAAGUUUCGGCGGUUGGGGAUGGACUCGCGGCUUAUCAGCUUGUUGGUGGGGUAGUGGCUUACCAAGGCUUUGACGGGUAGCCGGCCUGAGAGGGUGACCGGCCACAUUGGGACUGAGAUACGGCCCAGACUCCUACGGGAGGCAGCAGUGGGGAAUAUUGCACAAUGGGCGGAAGCCUGAUGCAGCAACGCCGCGUGCGGGAUGACGGCCUUCGGGUUGUAAACCGCUUUCGCCUGUGACGAAGCGUGAGUGACGGUAAUGGGUAAAGAAGCACCGGCUAACUACGUG